rnacentral:rRNA from 1 species
UACGGAGGGCGCAAGCGUUGUUCGGAAUCACUGGGCGUAAAGCGCGUGUAGGCGGCUUGGCACGUCUGAUGUGAAAUCCCGAGGCUCAACCUCGGAACUGCACUCGAAACUGGCUGGCUCGAGUCCCGGAGAGGGUGUCGGAAUUCCCGGUGUAGGGGUGAAAUCCGUAGAUAUCGGGAGGAACACCAGUGGCGAAGGCGGCUCCCUGGACGGUGACUGACGCUGAGACGAGAAAGCGUGGGGAGCAAACAGG